CCCCCGCCCGCGGCCACCGGUUCCCACGAGCCCUGCAGAGGUUUUGAGCCCGGAGGCGGGAGUGUCGGAAUGCUCUACACCCCGGACUUUUUGAAGCUACCUUCUCAACAGUGACAGUCAUGAAAAUGUGACCAUCACUGCAUUAGCAGAAAACUGAGAAAACCCUGCUGAACAAUCCUGAAAAAAAAUCCCUAUUAUGGUGGAGUAUACAUUCUAGGGAAAGGUUUUUAAGUCAUGUAAAUAUUUACACGGUUCUAACACCAGAACUAUGUUACAAG
rnacentral:lncRNA from 1 species